ensembl:snRNA U6 U6 spliceosomal RNA
GUGCUCGUUUUGACAGCACAUAUACUAAAAUUGGAACGAUACAGAGAAGAUUAGCAUGGCCCCUGUGCAAGGAUGACAUGCAAAUUCGUGAAGCAUUCCAUAUUUUC